AGAAUGCAUGAGGUUUGUUUUUACACAGAAUUUGGAAUACUUGUCCCUCAACAGAAAUUUCCUAGAAAGACAAUAUUAAUGGUGAAAUAAUUUCUUCAUCAUAUCUGCAACGAUGUCACUUCGAAGAAUGUCAUUUCGAGAUGGAACUAAAACACAUUUCAGGUUCGAGAUAUGUAAUUUUUGAAAAAGUCCAAGUUUCAAAUUUUGUAAUAGGUACUUAUGACAGGGGUUAUUUUUGAUCUUCUUUUUUCGACAAUUGUGGCACAACCUAUUUCUGUGUUAAUUCAGUAAAUUGUAGUUCUUGUCUGUUAAUUAUUCAAAUUCAACCGUCAACCAGAAGUAGCAAAAACUCAAAUAUUGAUUUUAUGUCCACAUCACCCGUUACUUCAACGAUUGCAAAAUUGUCGCAGCCAUUCUUAUCAUAUAGCGAAUUGUGCAAUUAUGCUCUGAGUGCAUAAUUUUGAACUCGCUACAAUAAUACCCGAAGAUUAUUAUUCCCUGUCAAGAUGAAUCGACAAAUGCGCGGUUUUCAACAGGAAUCUCGCGAUGGCAUGUAGACGGGAUCUACUGUGCUAUCUCGACUCGCGCGUAGCGAAUCGCGCGUUUCUCGCCUCAUCUGGACAGGCUAAUUUUACCAAUAGAAUUCACUGUUGUUGCCAAUUCCAUAAGAUGGACACUAGUGCAUAUUAUGAACUAAGAGAGAUUAUUUCAACUACCUAUGAAAGAUAAUGAUCAAUAGGCAUAAGAGCAGUUACUUGAUUUUCAUUUUUUCAUUGGAAUAUAUUACACGAAUAGACUCACCGAGUAUACAAGGUCUUCGUCGAUGCUCUCCAUCGCUCCAAGAUCCAACAAAAAGCAUUAUAAUAACAGGAGUUUUCCCCAGUUAAUGAAAUCUCUUAGAAGCGUAUUACCCCAUAAAACAGGAAUGAAAAAAUUACAUAUGAACAAAAACAUUAGGUAACUACUGUAUUUCGUGGCUUAAUGAGAAAACUGCCUAAAUCCGUAUCUGACAAUUUUACAGGAGCAAAAAUUACUAAAUAUUGGAAAGAGAUCCGCAAAAAUCAUUGAAUACUCAACCAUUUAGUAAGUAAUAGUUAACUAUAUUGAAUAUAUGUAAUUUGUUGCAGCAAAAAUGACUUAAACCAUUUUUUUUAAAUAGGUACCUACAAUCAGAGAUAGGCAUCUAAAACCCAUUUUCUUCUAGAAGUGGAGAAGGAGGAGGAAAUUUUCUUGGUAAAGCGACGAUUUGCAGUUUCUACAUCCACAUCAUUAUUUAUAAAAGAUUCUUUGCAUAUAAUAGUUUAAAAAAUAUUGAGUAAAAAUCAUAUAUUCACUCUA